UACGGAGGGUGCAAGCGUUAUCCGGAUUCACUGGGUUUAAAGGGUGCGUAGGCGGACUUUUAAGUCAGUGGUGAAAUCCCCGAGCUUAACUCGGAAACUGCCAUUGAUACUAUUUGUCUUGAAUUCGGUCGAGGUUGGCGGAAUGUGUCGUGUAGCGGUGAAAUGCUUAGAUAUGACACAGAACACCGAUUGCGAAGGCAGCUAGCUAGACCGACAUUGACGCUGAGGCACGAAAGCGUGGGGAUCAAACAGG
rnacentral:rRNA from 1 species